UACGAAGGGGGCUAGCGUUGCUCGGAAUCACUGGGCGUAAAGCGCACGUAGGCGGCUUUUUAAGUCAGGGGUGAAAUCCUGGAGCUCAACUCCAGAACUGCCUUUGAUACUGAGAAGCUUGAGUCCGGGAGAGGUGAGUGGAACUGCGAGUGUAGAGGUGAAAUUCGUAGAUAUUCGCAAAGAACACCAGUGGCGAAGGCGGCUCACUGGCCCGGUACUGACGCUGAGGUGCGAAAGCG
rnacentral:rRNA from 1 species